CCCCUGGACAAAGACUGACGCUCAGGUGCGAAAGCGUGGGGAGCAAACAGGAUUAGAUACCUGGUAGUGCACGCCGUAAACGAUGUCGACUUGGAGGUUGUGCCCUUGAGGCGUGGCUUCCGGAGCUAACGCGUUAAGUCGACCGCCUGGGGAGUACGGCCGCAAGGUUAAAACUCAAAUGAAUUGACGGGGGCCCGCACAAGCGGUGGAGCAUGUGGUUUAAUUCGAUGCAACGCGAAGAACCUUACCUACUCUUGACAUCCAGAGAACUUAGCAGAGAUGGAUUGGUGCCUUCGGGAACUCUGAGACAGGUGCUGCAUGGCUGUCGUCAGCUCGUGUUGUGAAAUGUUGGGUUAAGUCCCGCAACGAGCGCAACCCUUAUCCUUUGUUGCCAGCGGUCCGGCCGGGAACUCAAAGGAGACUGCCAGUGAUAAACUGGAGGAAGGUGGGGAUGACGUCAAGUCAUCAUGGCCCUUACGAGUAGGGCUACACACGUGCUACAAUGGCGCAUACAAAGAGAAGCGACCUCGCGAGAGCAAGCGGACCUCAUAAAGUGCGUCGUAGUCCGGAUUGGAGUCUGCAACUCGACUCCAUGAAGUCGGAAUCGCUAGUAAUCGUAGAUCAGAAUGCUACGGUGAAUACGUUCCCGGGCCUUGUACACACCGCCCGUCACACCAUGGGAGUGGGUUGCAAAAGAAGUAGGUAGCUUAACCU
rnacentral:rRNA from 2 species